AAUCUAUGAUAGGGGCAUAAUUUUAGCAUUCCUUUGAAUCUAUCCCAAGCUUCAAAUAAGGAUUCUUUAUCAUUUUGCCUAAAUCUUGCAAUAAGAUUUCUCAUAUA